UUAGUGGCGAACGGCGGAGUAAUACAUGAGCAACGUGCCCCAGAGACCGGGAUAGUCAUUGGAAACGAUGUGUAAUACCGGAUGCGGCUUUUUCUAGGCAUCUAGAAGAAACCAAAUGGUUUUUCGCUCUGGGAGCGGCUCAUGGCCUAUCAGGUAGUUGGUGGGGUAACGGCCUACCAAGCCGACGACGGGUAGCGGGUCUGAGAGGAUGAUCCGCUCGAGUGGGACUGAGACACGGCCCACACACCUACGGGUGGCAGCAGUUGGGAAUCUUGCACAAUGGGGGAAACCCUGAUGCAGCGGCGCCGCGUGGAGGAUGAAGGGUCUAGGCUCGUAAACUCCUUUUAUCAGGAAAGACUUAGGACGGUACCUGAUGAAUAAGCACCGGCUAACUACGUGCCA
rnacentral:rRNA from 1 species